AACCCUAAAUCUUUUCUCUCAUCUGAGACCAAAACCAUUUCCUUAUCUAUAUCUGCAUCUACCAUAGCCAUGGUGGAUGUUGAAUAAUCAGCUCCAACAAUAUAGUUUCUCAUUGUUAGCAACCAUAAGGCAGAAACUCCAAUUUAUAUGUUUGUCGUUGUAACUUGCCUUCAAUUGAUAUGUUACAAUGUUGUCCGAAUAAGUCAUGUUAACUGGAAAAUGGGAAAAUAUGACAUUCAUGAAGAUGCAAAAAAGUGAAUUUUUCAAUCAAUUCAAAAUGCUUGGAGAAAGCAUAAAAAUCAGUUAAAGAAAGACCAUUUUGAACCCUAUGAGAAUGACGAGCUUAGAAUGGGGAAUGAAUCCAGGAUUACGGGUUGAUCCUAACAUGCUAGCUUUCAAUGCUCGUUCACCUGGAGAAGCUUCCUUUGCACAAAAAGCAGCUAUACAACUAAUCAAUCGUCUAUAUCUAUAGGGACUAACAAUCAAGAUAUGAAACCAACUUCAUAGAGAAGGGAGAAUUUCUACAAGGACUUGCCACUUGCCAGCCAGCUGCUUCUGAUAUAUUGGCAACGCUACAAGUGCCAAUUAGCAAACUAAUGAGCUGAUAGACAAAGACAAUCUGAUGAUUCUGAAUUUGAAGUUUAGUGUUGAGUUAAGCAGCUAGGGCAAGGAUUAUAUAUACAAGUGAAUCAAGAUUGGAUCUACUCAAACAGCCUAAGGAGCAGCCCGGUGCACUAAGGUCCCGCUAUGGGCAAGGUCCGGGGAAGGGCCAGAUCCCAAGGGUCUAUUGUACGCAGCCUUACCCUGCAUUUCUACAAGAGGCAGUCUCCACGGCUUGAACCCGUGAAACAGGAGGUCGCGUGUUCGAGCCAUGGAAACAACCUCUUGCAGAAAUGCAGGGUAAGGCUACGUACAAUAAAACCUUGUGGUCCGGCCCUUCCACGAACCCUGCACAUAGCGGGAGUGCUGCUCCUUUACCUUCUUCUUUCUUAUCAUCCCAGUGGAACAAACUUACUGAUCCAAUUCCUGUGGAGUUAGUAAAAGAAGUUAGAUGACUGAGGCUAAUCUGGUUUGCCUUCCAAAUAUGCUGUCUUUCCUGAUGCUAAUUUCGUCUUCCUUUAUCCGGGCUUUCCUAGUAGCAAUAAGUGAUCAAAUGUUCAAGAUGUCAUAUUUAUAUAACGAGCCUUCUAUAAUUGCCCGUUUCAAGGUAUGCAACCUCUAUAUGAUUGAAACUU